UACUUGAAUAAGUUGAGCAAUAGAGCCAAGAUACGAUUAAGUACUUGGUAGGCAUUGAAUUGCUAGAAAAGGGGAGCCAAACUCAAAUAUGCAGAGGAGCCAGGAAGUCACUGUGGGUGAGUGAAGCAACCAGCAAGGCCUACUUGGCCACAUGUUUUGAUUCAGAGAGAAGCAAGGAUUUUAUGUGAAAGCCGAUUUUGUGAAGUCUGUAUGGAUUAUGUGAAAUCUCUUGUGUUUUUAGGGUUGGCAGUUACUAUCAGACCGUGCUCUCUCCCUAUUCUCUAAAGCUGCCUUUGACUUUUGAAUUUUAUAUCAUCAGGUUAUGUGCACUACUCUUCACUGUCGCUGCCGGGCCCUUCUCUCCUGCACCUCAAUUCCUCCUCAUUUUUAGAACUCAUUUGUUGAACUGUCUUGGCAAAUCUACUAUCCUGAUUAAAUCCAGUUUUCCAAUUUUUGUCUCUGUACCCAUGCACCUGAGUGUAGCUGGGGGUGAGGGUGAGGUGGGACAAAAGUGCUGUUAAUUGGACUCAAUUGAAAAUCAAAGUCGUGACUCUCAAGUGUGUCCUUUAUCUGCCAGCUGGUCACACUAUGUGCUUUUACUCCAUUUACUCUUCUGGUCUCCUUGACAACUGUUUUAUGACUUUUCUUUUCUCCUCAACUCCCAUCACCUUCCUCCCGAUCCUCAUGCCCAGAUGAGGGUCUUGAGAAUAGGGAUGCAGCGGGGUAAAACUUCCACAGAGUCGUACUACCACAUCGAUGUAGCUCCUGGCAUCUAUACCGCCAUAUACUCCUUGGUCUUUUCCAUAAAUGAAUUAUCUAGGCUCCUAUCCGAGUCUAAUACCUUCACUUGUACACUAGCUCCUGUCUCCUACUCAAAGACAUCAAGGGCGACUUUUCUUGUUCCCUGCUACAUCAUCAAUUUCUCACUCUUUACUGGAUCAAUUCCAUCAGCAUACAAAUAUAUUCCACUUUAAAACAAACAAAAGAACUUUCAUGCCACUUCCCUCUUCCAUCAAUCACCCCAUUUCUUUGCUCCUUUUGUGGUAAAGAGUUGAAUAUUCUCACUGUCUCCAAUUUCUCUCCUCUCAUCUUCUCCUGAACCCACUCUAAUUAGAGCCACCCCUCCCACCUUACUCCACUGAAACUGCUCUCUUCAGGGUCACCUAUGUCCACACCAUUGCUGAAUAUAAUAGUCAGUUGUCAGUCCCUCAUCUUACUUGAUCUAUCGGUAGUUUUUGACACAGUUGAUCACCUCCUCCGUGUUGGACAUUCUCUUCAUUUGUCUUCCGCAUUCUCUUACAUUUUUGCUUAUUUCACUGGUCACUCUUCAGCUUUCUUUGCUGUCUUUCCUCUUCUCCAUUAACACUUAAUGUUUGGGUGCACCAGGACUCAGUCUUUAGUUCUUUUCUCUGCCUACACCCACUCCCUUGGUAAUGUCAACCAGUUUUGAGGCCUUAAAUACCAUCUCUCUACCGAGGACUGCCAAAUUUAUAUGUUUAACACAGACCUUUCUCUUGAACUUGACUCAUGUCCAAAAUUGAGCUCUUGAUCCUGCCCCCUAAAACUGCUCUUUCCACAUUCUUCCCCAUCUAGGUUACUCCAUCCUUCCAGUUCUUGACCCAAAAAUGAGAGUCUUCCUUGACUUCUCUAUUUUUUCAUGGCCUAUAUUCAAUCCACCAGCAAAUCCUGUUGACUCUAUUCAAGAUAUGUCUAGAAUCUGAUACUUUUCUCCAUUCCCGCUACUGCCAUCACAGUUCGAGCCAUCAUAUCCUGUCUGGAUUACUAUAGUUAUCUCCUAACCAAAAGUGUCUUCCACUAUUGCUCCCCACAGGCUUUCCUCAACACUACAGCCAGAUUGAUCCUUUUUUGGUUUUUGUUUUUGCUGAGGAAGAUUCACCCUGAGCUUUCAUGUGUGCCAAUCUUCCUCUCUUUUGUAUGUGGGUCACUGCCACAGCAUGGCUACCAAGUUGUGUAGGUCUGUGCCCAGGAGCCAAAUUAGGGCCACCAAAGUGGAGCCCCUCAAGGUUAACCACUAGGCCAUGAGGCUGGCCCCCAGAUUGAUCCUUUUAAAUGAAAUCUGAUUAUGUCUUUCCUCUGUUGAGAAGCCGACAAUGGCUUCUAAUUUCAGUCAGAAUAAAAGUCAAACUCUUUAUAGAACCUGCAUUCUCUCUCUCUCUCCCUAUUCCUCUCUACCCUGUUACCCUCUGAUCUUGUUUCCUUGUUCAUUCUGCUAGCCACACUGUCGCCUUUCUGGUCCUUGAACACACCAGGCCGAAGCCUACAUUAGAGCCCCUUUGCACUUGCCAUUUCCUUGCCUGGCAUGCUCUUCCCACGUGGUGAAGGUCCACCCUGACCUCCAUAUUUAAAAUAGCAGUGGACCAGGCACUCAGAUUCAGGCUGGCAUGUGACUGAAAUUGGCAAUAAUCCAUGGCGUGGCGGGACCAGAUCUCAUUCAGAUGUCUCUCACUGCAUCUGGGUAGAAACAUGCAACAGCUCUGGCCUUGCCUGGAACCAUUCUGUAACGACAGGAGGUCAAUAUUAGAAUGAAGUGAGCCCUGGAGAUGGUCUAGUGAGAGAAAAGGCAAGAUCCUUGAUAACCUGUUAAGCAGCUCAUUUAUUCUAUAUCUAGAGAAUGUCCUACUUGUGGCCUUCUAAUUAUAUGACAUAAAUUCCCUUAUUAAGUCAGUUUUUAAGCUGAGAGUCUUGUUAUUUGCAUCCAAAUGCAUCCUAACUGAUACCCUGAACGGACAUUUCGUCAUACUCCCUGAUUUGUGGAGGGCCUGUAAAACCAAUGGAAAGGAAACUGACCUCUGCCCAAAACUGGAGUUCAAAUGUAUACAGCUCCAUCUGUGGAAUGUGAGAUGGUUGUGGAAACUGUUUUGCAGAGAGAGUCAAGUGGGCCCCCUGAGAGAAAUAAACGUUAAUAGAGAAGGAUUCUGGCAGCGUGAAGUUCUGGAGGCAUGUGAGACUGCGCUGGGAUCCAUGCAGACCCAGAGCCUGUACCACACCCCACCCACUCCAGCAUACAUGCUUUCCCGGAAAGAGAGGGCUGUGGCUAAGCCACAAAACAUCGACCUAGCCCUUUGCCAUGGGAUGCUCCCCAACUCCUCCCCCCACCCUCCAAUCUUGGAUGCUAGAAGAAGACAGUGCUUCCAUCCCAACUGGAGGGAAGACAGGAAUGAACUGUAAAGAAUAACAAACAGAGAUGCUGAGGAAACCCUGAAGGCUGUGGUGACAAUGGCACCAAUACACGGUAUUAUUAGUGUCCAAGCCACAGCCAAGCACAGGCAUCAAAGCCUAAGAAAUCUGAAAACAGUAUCUCCUGCCUGGUGAACUCCUACUCAUCCUUUAAGACCCAAUUGAAAAGUCAUUACCUCUGUGUUGUGGGUUGACCCCCCCAAAAUAUAUAUUUUAAUCCUAACCACUGAUACCUUUCAAUGUGACCUUAAUUGGAAAUAAAGUCUUUGCAGAUGCAAUCAAA